GAAUUGAAGAGUUUGAUCAUGGCUCAGAUUGAACGCUGGCGGCAGGCUUAACACAUGCAAGUCGAACGGUAGCAGGAAGAAAGCUUGCUUUCUUUGCUGACGAGUGGCGGACGGGUGAGUAAUGCUUGGGAAUCUGGCUUAUGGAGGGGGAUAACUGUGGGAAACUGCAGCUAAUACCGCGUAUUCUCUGAGGAGGAAAAGGUGGGACCUUAGGGCCACCUGCCAUAAGAUGAGCCCAAGUGGGAUUAGGUAGUUGGUGGGGUAAAGGCCUACCAAGCCUGCGAUCUCUAGCUGGUCUGAGAGGAUGACCAGCCACACUGGAACUGA
rnacentral:rRNA from 1 species